UUGACGGGACCGCACAAGCGGUGGAUGAUGUGGAUUAAUUCGAUGCAACGCGAAAAACCUUACCUACCCUUGACAUGUCCGGAAUCCCGAAGAGAUUUGGGAGUGCUCGCAAGAGAGCCGGAACACAGGUGCUGCAUGGCUGUCGUCAGCUCGUGUCGUGAGAUGUUGGGUUAAGUCCCGCAACGAGCGCAACCCUUGUCAUUAGUUGCCAUCAUUUGGUUGGGCACUCUAAUGAGACUGCCGGUGACAAACCGGAGGAAGGUGGGGAUGACGUCAAGUCCUCAUGGCCCUUAUGGGUAGGGCUUCACACGUCAUACAAUGGUCGGUACAGAGGGUUGCCAACCCGCGAGGGGGAGCUAAUCCCACAAAGCCGAUCGUAGUCCGGAUCGCAGUCUGCAACUCGACUGCGUGAAGUCGGAAUCGCUAGUAAUCGUGGAUCAGAAUGUCACGGUGAAUACGUUCCCGGGUCUU
rnacentral:rRNA from 1 species